rnacentral:rRNA from 1 species
GAUGUGAUCCAAUGUCUUGUCAGUUUCGAGUUGGUGUUCCCGCCAUCCUUCUUCAAUAUUAUGACGCACCUCUUGGUUCACCUAGUCGAAGAGAUUUUCAUUCUCGGUCCUGUAUUUCUACACAAUAUGUUCCCCUUCGAGAGGUUCAUGGGAGUAUUAAAGAAAUAUGUUCAUAACCGUGCUAGGCCAGAAGGAAGCAUCGCCAAGGGCUAUGGAAAUGAGGAGGUAAUUGAGUUUUGUGUUGACUUUGUUCCUGACCUUAAGCCGAUUGGUCUUCCUCGAUCGCGGCACGAGGGGAGACUAAGUGGAAAAGGCACGAUCGGAAGGAAAUCAACGACAUGUAUGGACGGCCAUUCUCUGACUGAAGCACACCACACUGUACUGACCAAUUCCAGCUUGGUGGCUCCGUACUUUGAGAAACACAAGAAUAUUUUACACUCGGACAACCCG